AUGGGUCUGACAUGCCGCCUGGAGAAAGCUGCCAAGUAUGAUGACAUCAAGAAGGUGGUGAUGCAGGCAUCUGAGGGCCUACUGAAGAGAUGGGA